rnacentral:rRNA from 1 species
UUACCCACUCUCGGCAUGAGGAGGUAGUGACGAAAAAUAACGAGACCGUUCUCUAUGAGGCCGGUUAUCGGAAUGGGUACAAUUUAAACCCGUUAACGAGGAUCUAUGAGAGGGCAAGUCUGGUGCCAGCAGCCGCGGUAAUUCCAGCUCUCAAAGUGUAUAUCGUCAUUGCUGCGGUUAAAAAGCUCGUAGUUGGAUCUGCGCCUCAGGACCUGGUCCGCCCACUGGGUGAGAACUGGGCUCCUGGGCUAGUUCUGCUGGUUUUCCCUGCGUUGCCUUCAUCGGUAGCGUAGGGUGGCUAGCGAGUUUACUUUGAAAAAAUUAGAGUGCUUCACGCGGGCUUAUGUCUGAAUACUCGUGCAUGGAAUAAUAGAAUAGGAUCUCGGCUCUAUUUUGUUGGUUUUCUGAUCUGAGAUAAUGGUUAAGAGGGACGGACGGGGGCAUUCGUAUCGCUGCGUGAGAGGUGAAAUUCUUGGACCGUAGCGAGACGCCCGACUGCGAAAGCAUUUGCCAAGAAUGUCUUCAUUAAUCAAGAACGAAAGUCAGAGGUUCGAAGGCGAUCAGAUACCGCCCUAGUUCUGACCGUAAACGAUACCAACUAGCGUUCCGUCGGCGGUAAAUACGCCUUGACGGGCAGCUUCCCGGAAACGAAAGUCUUUCGGUUCCGGGGGAAGUAUGGUUGCAAAGCUGAAACUUAAAGAAAUUGACGGAAGGGCACCACCAGGAGUGGAGCCUGCGGCUUAAUUUGACUCAACACGGGAAAACUCACCUGGCCCGGACACCGUGAGGAUUGACAGAUUGAUAGCUCUUUCUUGAUUCGGUGGUUGGUGGUGCAUGGGC